AGUGAACGCUGGCGGUAGGCCUAACACAUGCAAGUCGAACGGCAGCACAGUAAGAGCUUGCUCUUACGGGUGGCGAGUGGCGGACGGGUGAGGAAUACAUCGGAAUCUACUUUUUCGUGGGGGAUAACGUAGGGAAACUUACGCUAAUACCGCAUACGACCUACGGGUGAAAGCAGGGGUUCUUCGGACCUUGCGCGAUUGAAUGAGCCGAGGCCGGAUUAGCUAGUUGGCGGGGUAAAGGCCCACCAAGGCGACGAUGCGUAGCUGGUCUGAGAGGAUGAUCAGCCACACUGGAACUGAGACACGGUCCAGACUCCUACGGGAGGCAGCAGUGGGGAAUAUUGGACAAUGGGCGCAAGCCUGAUCCAGCCAUGCCGCGUGAGUGAAGAAGGCCUUCGGGUUGUAAAGCCCUUUUGUUGGGGAAGAAAAGCAGCAGGUGAAUACCCCGCUGUUCUGACGGUACCCAAAGAAUAAGCACCGGCUAACUUCGUG
rnacentral:rRNA from 1 species